AACAUGUCUUUUUGAAAAUAAUUUAAAGUCUAAUCUGCCCACUGAUAAAUAUUAAAGGGCUGCAGUAUAUUGACUGUACAAAGGUAGCAUAAUCAAUAGUCUUUUAAUUGAAGACUUGUAUGAAGGAUUUAAUGAAAUAUAAUCUGUCUCUUAUUUAUAAUUAGAAUUUAAUUUUUUAGUUAAAAAGCUAAAAUAGAUUUAAAAGACGAGAAGACCCUAUAGAGUUUUAUAAUUAAUUAAUUUUGGGUUAUAUAUAUAAUUUAAAAUUAAAAAUUAAUUAAUUAUUUUAUUGGGGUGAUAAAAAAAUUAAUUAAACUUUUUUUUAUUAAAGACAUAAAUAAGUGAAUAAAUGAUCCAUUAUUAAUGAUUAAAAGAAAAAAUUACCUUAGGGAUAACAGCGUAAUUUUUUUUUUUAGUUCAAAUAAGAAAAAGAGAUUGCGACCUCGAUGUUGGAUUAAGAUAAAAUAUAAAUGCAAAAGUUUAAAAUUUUGAUCUGUUCGAUCAUUAAAAUCUUACAUGA
rnacentral:rRNA from 1 species